ACCUAAUGAAAUGCUCGGACAGAAAACUUGAAUCAAUUCUGAGGUUAUUCAUGUGCUUUUCCAUCAAAUAUACGUAAAUAGCCUGAGAAUGAACUCAAAACCUUGAUGGAUGCUUUAAUUGGAAAGAUUUGGAUUUCCAGGGUUAAACCAGCUUCAAGAUUCGAGGGUUUUUGGAGUUAUUCGAAUGAAACAACGUGGGAUUUGGGAUGGGGGAGAGUCUGGUGGUCAUUGGAUAUAGACUUGGUGGGAAAAGGGUCGGCGCCGCCGUACACGGCGGCGGAGUCCAUGUUUCUCGCUCAAAUUCGAGAGGCUGGGGUGGGGUUUGAGCGAUGGUGGUUGCAUAUUUGGGUAGAGGAGAGGGAGGCAGAUCAACGGUGUAAUUUUGGAUAGGAUUGGAUGAUCGCCGCCAGUGGAGGCGAUUUCCUGUCGGCGGUUUAUGGUGGUGGAUGUUCUGGUCUAAGAGAGAGACGGGUAGGGGGUC
rnacentral:lncRNA from 1 species